rnacentral:rRNA from 1 species
UACAGAGGUGGCAAGCGUUGUUCGGAAUUACUGGGCGUAAAGGGCGCGUAGGCGGGAUGGCAAGUCGGUCGUGAAAUCCCUCGGCUCAACUGAGGAGCGUCGAUCGAAACUGCCGUUCUUGAGGGUUGCAGAGGAGACUGGAAUUCCCGGUGUAGCGGUGAAAUGUGUAGAGAUCGGGAGGAACACCGGUGGCGAAGGCGGGUCUCUGGGCAACUCCUGACGCUGAGGCGCGAAAGCGUGGGGAGCAAACGGG